rnacentral:lncRNA from 1 species
CAUAACGUAAAGUCAUGAUUUUAUUAAAGACACGGAGGCAAGUAUUAUGCUUCUCAUUCUUUUAAUUUCCCUCCGCAGCGAAGAGAGAUGUAUACAAAAGAGAAAAAAAAUCCAGAACAUUGCCUAGCAACCGUGCUACCAAUCAGCAUCAGCCACUUAGUAUAUAAGGUGCAGCACUCCAUACUUCUUCCUCUUUCUGAAGCGAUCCGAAGACCAGGCAAAAUCAACAACCGCAACAUCGAACUGAACUCGGAAAAAACGGACAGUAGCCGUACCUCCAUCCUCUGCGGAAACAACGGUUUAACUUUCUUUCAAACCUCAGGGCAUCGAUAGAAGUAGUCAAGCUAAAAAAGAAGAGAAAAAUGGUAAUAUUUCAAUAGUCAUCUGGUUGCAACAUAUAUACCAACAUAUAUAGUGACAUAUUCAUAGAGAAAAGUCAUUGGUCAUAAGACACAAAGAAUCGCCACAAAAAACCAAUGUGAGUAAUCUUACCUCUUGAGAAAAAAAACAACAAAAACGUGAACAAAACAUGUAAGUUAUCAAAUAAAAAAAGAAAGAAGAAAAAACAAAAAACAAUCCACGUCACUGAAAAAAGUGUAUCCCAACAACCCCGAACACCACGUUUACAUCCCAAAAGGAUCCAAAAGGCGUUGAAACGAAUACCUUUGAGUGGGCGACAGAUCAUAGGAUUUGGUCCGAUUGGGACACCGUCCAAGCUUUCAUGACCCGCUGAGAUAGCUGACCGGUAUAGAUUAACGAUGCAGAAGGCCUUGCCAGAUUCGAACAAGUGUGUCAGAAAAUUCAAGACCACUUUCACAGACGCUGAUUUAGGAUCCACUGAUCAUUCCAAGCACCAACUGGACCACGUUCUCCAUGUCGCAGGAUAGGAACGCCGCGUUCCUGGUGCCAAAGCGUUUGCCAGGAGCUGGUAGUCGUUCUCGAAACCUCCGUGAUUUCCCAGGAUCCCUGGAAACGAGCCACGCCAUGAGACAAAGAAGUCCCUGAUCUAUCAGACUGUGACUCUCCCGGUCUGGAUUGGUCAGAAGAAAUGCGUAAUCUGGUAAUAACCGUGGACAAUCUAUCGCCAUCUCAAACAGGUGGGGAAACCAAGGUUGAGACCUCCAGCAUGGGGUUAUAAGGACUACUGUGCCUUUGCAGCGUCGGAGGUACGCCAGAGUCUGAGCAAUCAGGUUGAACGGAGGAAAGGCAUACAAAUCGACCCGUGGUCCAAUCCUGGAGGAACGCAUCCAUCGAUAUGGCUUCUGGAUCCGGUCGCCAGCUGAAAAACGGAGGCAGCUGCGUGUUCAGUCUGGAUGCAAAAAGAUCCACAUGCAAGGGUACCCAUAGCUGAGCGAUCUUGUUGAAUACAACUGGUUGAAGUCUCCAAUCCCCCAUGUUCCUCAGGUAACGAGUGUUCCAAUCCGCAGUGUAGUUCUCUAGACCCGGUAUGUGUUCUGCGGUCACAGACACGUUGUUCUGCAGACAAUAAUGCCCGAAGUCUCGAGCCAAGACUGCUAGGAUACGUGACUUGGUGUCCCCCAGAUGGUUGAUAUAUCGAAAGGCCGAAACGUUGUCCAUACUUCUUCCUCUUUCUGAAGCGAUCCGAAGAACAGGCAAAAUCAACAACCGGCCAAUAAGCCGAUGACUCUUGCCAACUGUCUCAGUGAUA